UACGUAGGGAGCAAGCGUUGUCCGGAAUUACUGGGCGUAAAGGGCUGGUAGGCGGCCAACUAAGUCGGAUGUGAAAUCCCCAGGCUUAACCUGGGAACUGCAUCCGAUACUGGUCGGCUUGAAUCCGGGAGAGGGAUGCAGAAUUCCAGGUGUAGCGGUGAAAUGCGUAGAUAUCUGGAGGAAUACCGGUGGCGAAGGCGGCAUCCUGGACCGGCAUUGACGCUGAACAGCGAAAGCUAGGGGAGCAAACGGG
rnacentral:rRNA from 1 species